GUUCCACUCUUUCCAAUUACAGUGAUUGCUGUCCUAUUUAAGUGGCGGUUUGAAUGUUGGUUUUAAUGUAUCAAACAUGGAAUCAAAACCAAGAAGGGCGAAAAGCCAAACUGGACAGAGGAACAGUGUUUACUGUUAGCCCAGUUAGUGGAUGAGCACAAGGCCAUUCUUAAAGGAAAGUUUGGGCCGGGUGUCACUCAGAAACAAGUAUUACCGGUUUGAAGGAGGGCACAGACAGCUCAAUGAUUCAGCUGGAGGAACUACAAAAAUGUAGCACAGAGCCUUCAGCAGAGGAAUGGGGACCGUCGACAUCGCAGAUGGGUGACCCUCAGCCCGAAGCGCCUCAUUCCCUGCCUUCUGCUGCCACCGCAGCUGCUCCAACACCAUCCCUAGUAGACAAAAAACUGGAGAUGGAUGUCCUAAAGCAGCAGAAAAUAGUACUCCAUCUACAAGAGGAGUCCUACAAACAAAAAAUUGAGCUACUCAAAAAUAAAACUAAUAACAAAUAAUGUUUUUUUGUGUCUUUAUAAUAUCUUUUUAAUGAAAAUGUUGGCUAGUGUCUGUUUAGUCACGAUU